GAAUAUGUUUCUCCAAGUUCUCAAAAUAGAGAACCUCUAAGUUUCCACACCAAGGUAAGAUGUGAAGAAGUGAUGAGUGACCUUGGAGGAGAAAGAUUACUAGCUAAUCCCUCCAAGGGGGCCGGCCUCUUAGAGAGAAAAGAGAGAGAUAUGUUCUCUCCAAUUCUCUAAAAGAAAUCCUAAAUGAAUUUUGGCUAUAAAGUCAUAUUUAUACCUUUAUUCAUUGGAGUGGCAAACUUGUAAUUAAGUUCAAAACCCACUCCUUUAACAAAAUGGCCGGCCAUAGGGUUUCAUUGGGCUUUUAAGGCCUUUGUGAAUUAUUUGUCAUUAAGUUGUCAUACAACUUAAGUCAAUGGGCUUGACGUUUGAAGCCCAUUGGGCCUUGAGGCCCAAAACUAACCCGUGGUCUUUUAACGAACUUUAUUCGUUUGAUUAAUU
rnacentral:lncRNA from 1 species